GUACUGACAAGGAGUCCCAGAAUAGGAUGAAACAGCUGUCCAGUAC
rfam:Trichobilharzia regenti genome assembly, scaffold: TRE_scaffold0108575